rnacentral:misc_RNA from 1 species
UCAAACUUGGUCAUUUAGAGGAAGUAAAAGUCGUAACAAGGUCUCCGUUGGUGAACCAGCGGAGGGAUCAUUACCGAGUUAUCAACUCCCAAACCCCUGUGAACAUACCUGAACGUUGCCUCGGCGGGACCGCCCCGGCGCCCACUUUCGCGGCCCGGACCCAGGCGCCCGCCGGAGGACCCAAACUCUUGCUUUUGAACAGUGGCAUACUCUCUGAGUCUCACAAACAUAAAAUGAAUCAAAACUUUCAACAACGGAUCUCUUGGCUCUGGCAUCGAUGAAGAACGCAGC